rnacentral:rRNA from 1 species
GACGUAGGGCGCGAGCGUUGUCCGGCAUCAUUGGGCGUAAAGCGCGUGUAGGCGGUCCGGUAAGUCCGCUGUGAAAGUCGGGGGCUCAACCCUCGGAUGCCGGUGGAUACUGUCGGGCUUGAGUACGGAAGAGGCGAGUGGAAUUCCUGGUGUAGCGGUGAAAUGCGCAGAUAUCAGGAGGAACACCAAUUGCGAAGGCAGCUCGCUGGGACGUUACUGACGCUGAGGCGCGAAAGCGUGGGGAGCGAACAGG